UACGGAGGGUGCAAGCGUUGUUCGGAAUCAUUGGGCGUAAAGCGCGAGUAGGCGGCUUGGCAAGUCGGUUGUGAAAUCCCGGGGCCCAACCCCGGAACUGCAUUCGAAACUGCCUCGCUAGAGUCCCGGAGAGGAAGGCGGAAUUCCCGGUGUAGAGGUGAAAUUCGUAGAUAUCGGGAGGAACACCAGCGGCGAAGGCGGCCUUCUGGACGGUGACUGACGCUGAGACGCGAAAGCGUGGGGAGCAAACAGG
rnacentral:rRNA from 1 species